UACGGGGGGGGCAAGCGUUGUUCGGAAUUACUGGGCGUAAAGGGCUCGUAGGCGGUUUGUCGCGUCGGGAGUGAAAACCCAGGGCUUAACCCUGGGCUGGCUUCCGAUACGGGCAGACUAGAGGUAUGCAGGGGAGAACGGAAUUCCUGGUGUAGCGGUGAAAUGCGCAGAUAUCAGGAAGAACACCCGUGGCGAAGGCGGCUCUCUGGGACGGUACUGACGCUGAGACGCGAAAGCGUGGGGAGCGAACAGG
rnacentral:rRNA from 1 species